GUAUGAAUAGGAAGGUUAGAAAUUUCCAAUCCUCUCCCUUCGCACAUCAUUAGCUUCCAUCUCUCAAGCUAGCCCUCACCCUCCAUCCAAUCUCAACCCUCACCCUCCAUCUCCGAUCUCAACCCUCACCCUCCAUUUGUCACUCUCAAGCCCUCACCCUCCAUCUUCGAUCUCAUGCCCUCACUCUCCAUCUCUCCGAUCUCAAGCCCUCACCCAUCUCACAUUUGUCACUCUCACUCCCCACAGGUAAGAUUAAACCCAGUUUUUGUUGAUCACUUGGUAAAUUUCAACAGUUUUUCGUUUCUCACAGGCUUUGUCUUCUUUAACACCAAGAACACUCUGCCCUCCGAUCCCAACGUCCCUUUCCGCCACCGUCAAAUCUCCACCGUCCAAACCACUGAUCAGACGGUCUGUGGGAAGUAUUGGCGCCUCUAGAUCCACCGGUGAAGAUCCCACCAAGCCCUAGAAUCUCCCUCUUCUUCUUCUCGCUCCUCCAAGAGUUGUGGGAGCUUGUUUCGUACCCACGUUCCUCUGAAUCACUUCUAUUGCAUAUGGUCAUUUUUCGCACUGAAUGAAUCCUUGAUAUAGGUGGUGGAUGUACUUAGAGGAACAUAGCGAAAGAGACAUCGUGAUGGGUACGAAUAUGGAGAGACACUUAUAAGGAAAGUGCCUUCGGCUGUUGAUUUAAUUUGGUCUGAUUCUCCUCUUGAGAUCCUUGAUUCAAUUACUUCCAUAACUUUUGAUGAUCCAGCUUGUUUGCCAAUUAAGGACCACGCCCUAACAACGGAAGAGGUAAAUUAUUAUUAUUAUUAUUAUUUUCAUUCGAUAGAAGUGUUAUUGUCUUGGAAUGCCAUGAAAAGUUUCAACAACGAUGUAGAACACUGCAAGCAAUUUCAGCUGUUUAAAUGCUAUUGUUUGGCAAGUUAAAAGUUUUUGUGAUGAUCGGGAAAGCAAGACUUCAAGCAUCUAUUGAAGUAAGAUUCUCCUAUAUAAAUUAACUCUUUGUGAUUUUCUGCAAUGCCAAACCUUGUCUCUAGCUUUUAUUGGAGUUUGAGACAAGACACUGUAGACACAGAUUCUUCCUGACACUUUAAAAUUGUAGCAUAUGUAAUGUGCUUUAAAAUUGUUGAUUCAAGUGGACCCUAAACUUUUUUGUGUAGCAUAUGUAUUGCUGCAUCUUUUUUGUGUCAAAUGGACCCUAAACUUUCCUCCAUUUUGUUGUUGUAUUGAACUGCAUAUUCCUUAAAGAUUGAUAAUUUUCCUGUA